GUAACCCCAGAGUGCAGUCUGGACGAUGGGGCGGGGCGACACUUCGAGGCGGAGCGACACGUGUCGCCCCGCCCAUAUUUGUUUUCCCCGCCUUUGACAUGUUCCUCCGAGCCAGCAGGGGGCAGUUUGCGUUGAAACAAACAGAACGGUGGCAACUACAGCAGCAGAGUAAUAACGCUAUUCCGUUGAUUGCUUGAGGUGAGUAAAAGUGGUUGUGUAAAUAUCUUAUAAUAUGAAAUGCGAUGUUCGAUCAUUUAUUUAUCCAUGGUACGUUCAAUUUGAAUAAUUAUUGUUAAUAAUUGUUAUAAAUUGCUCAUUUUAUUGUUCUUUGUGGAUUGUAACAGUACACUCGUACAUGGCUUUAGUUCAUAGGUUCGAUUUUACAGAGGUAUGGCAUCACAUUUGUCAAGUUAUUUGAACAGACAUGCAUGAUUUUUGUGUGUAUAUUAUUAUUAUUAUUAUUUUUCAGGAUGACAUGAUCAGGAGGUGGUGGUGUUCUGUUCUCCUGGACAGCUUUACUCCGCAAAUAGCUCAACCACUGAGGGGAGGAACUUCACCAUUCACCAUAUCUUCAGGCAGAGUCCAGCAAAGCAGCUUCCCCUGGAAAUCCUCAGGGAAGUUAUUUUGUCGGCGGGUGACUCUGCAUAUUUGACACUUUCUCUGGUUUGCAGAUGGUUUAGGGAUGUGCUCCGAAGUUUUUCGGAAAGCGGCACAGUUUGCCUGGCUAGACAGUAAGAUUUCCCCGUUUAAUGCUCAUUCUCCAAUUGAAUUUUGUAGUAGAAGGCUGUUAAACUUUUUUUGUAUUAUUAUUAUUAUCUUUCAUGUAUUUUGUCUUUACACUAUAAGUUGUGGCCAACUGGAAGAAUUGUCCUCCUGUCUCCUGACCGGAACGAGUUCAGACGGAUGUACAGCAUCAGGGAACACUUGCAGUGCAGAGCCCUUUUCAAGUUUAACCCACCAGGGUACAGGGAAGAGACCGGCGUGGUGAUCUUCUGGGCUUUUGUUUACACAGGAUUUUGUUCCAAGGACUGUUUUUUUUUUUUUUUUUUUGCGGCAUGAAACACAUUUGUGUGUUAAGUUCAUUGAAGGGAAAUAACUGGUUUUGAUUAUUAAUUGAUGUAAUUUAAAGUUAAACUUUGCACUGUAUAAUGUUUUAAUAAAAAAGCUAUGGAAAACACGUGC